ACAAAUACAAUGAACAGAUGAGUAGGUUAUGGAUUUUUGCUUAGAGAGUUUCCGUUUGGUGUAAGGAAACCAAAAAGCCACACUGAAGAUGGUCUGGGAGUAUCAAUGAGCGAGUUGAGAUGAGCUCAUUGCGGUGCCGCCGUUAUCGGAGAACUCUUUAGAGUUCUUGAGGUUGAAUUUGUAAAAAUUCAACAAAACAAGGUGGUACCACGUGAAAACGUCCUUAUA
rnacentral:ncRNA from 1 species